GGGGAAUAUUGCACAAUGGGCGAAAGCCUGAUGCAGCAACGCCGCGUGAGUGAUGAAGGUCUUCGGAUUGUAAAGCUCUGUCUUUUGGGACGAUAAUGACGGUACCAAAGGAGGAAGCCACGGCUAACUACGUGCCAGCAGCCGCGGUAAUACGUAGGUGGCGAGCGUUGUCCGGAUUUGCUGGGCGUAAAGGGUGCGUAGGCGGAUGUUUAAGUGAGAUGUGAAAUACCCGGGCUUAACUUGGGUGCUGCAUUUCAAACUGGAUAUCUAGAGUGCAGGAGAGGAGAAUGGAAUUCCUAGUGUAGCGGUGAAAUGCGUAGAGAUUAGGAAGAACAACCAGUGGCGAAGGCGAUUCUCUGGACUGUAACUGACGCUGAGGCACGAAAGCGUGGGUAGCAAACAGGAUUAGAUACCCUGGUAGUCCACGCCGUAAACGAUGAGUACUAGGUG
rnacentral:rRNA from 1 species